AUCUAGCGCGUGGGCGAGUCUAAGGGAAUCACUAAACCCGAAGGCGCAGUCAAAGCGACUGGGACGAUCGAGGUGACCCGGAGUCGCUCAACGAAGGGCCCUCGCGCAGUCCCGGGGCGAUCCCCCACCUCCGGGUGCGGGGAUCGUACCUAAGAGCCCACUCGCUGGGACCCGAAAGAUGGUGAACUAUGCUCGGCCAGGACGAAUCCAGGGGAAACCCUGGUGGAAGUCCGAACCGCCUCUGACGUGCAAAUCGACCGUCUGAGCUAAGCAUAGUGGCGAAAGGCCAAUCGAACCGUCUAGUAGCUGGUUCCCUCCGAAGUGUCCCUCAGGACAGCUGGCGCUCGCAAGGGGGGUCCAUCCCGGUAAAGCGAAUGACCGGGGGCCUCGGGGCCGAAACGGCCUCGACCCACUCUCAAACUCUGAACGGGAUGGAGGUCCCGCUUGCCCCUAGGGCGAAGCGGGGCCUUCUUUUCAGGACCCGAGUGCUCAGUGGGCCGCUCCUG
rnacentral:rRNA from 1 species